GGCUGCAAAGCUCAGGGGUUAGAGCACUGGUCUUAUGAAUCAGGGUUAUGAUUUCAAAUUUCACUACAGCCU
rnacentral:tRNA from 1 species